AUGGCUCGGCCAGCAGCAAGAAGAGCUAGCGGCGUGGUCGCCAUGACGCUGCUGCUGCUCCUGCUCCUGCCGGCGCCUGCCUUGUCUGUGGCGGGGGCGGUGGUGGGGGUAAUCGUCCGCUCGCCUAUGAUGAAAAGGAUCGCGAGCAUCAUCGUCAAGGAGGUAGCAAGCGCCGGCGCGUCCGCCCUGACCAAGGCCCUCCGCAGCUCCAACAAGGGCGGCCAGCUGGGCUCCGAUGCCGCGGACGACGCCGGCAUCAUACUCUACCACGUCACCGUCGGGCAACAGACUUUCUCCGGCGUGGUCGACAUCUCCAACGACUUUUUCUGGUGCAGUGCCCGCCCGCUCCGGCGCAAGAAGACCACUAACGACGACUGCAUCGACACAACCAGCAGCUGCCUGUACGCUUACGGGUCACCCGACGAUGGCAGCUACAGCACCGGCUACCUCGGCUAUGAGCAGUUCACCUUCGGUGCUGGGACCGGGACGUCGCCCGUCUCCGGGAGCGUGGUGUUCGGCUGCAGCACCCAGAACACAGCGAGGGACGGUGCCAUUGGGUUCAGCAAGGGCCCCCUCUCCAUCCUGUCACAGCUGCACAUCACCAGGUUCUCCUACUUCCUGACACCCGACGACUCCAAGAGCUCGAGCUCCACCAGCGCGGUCCUCCUGGGCGACCAAGCCGUGCCGCAGACUAAACAUAGCCGCUCCACACCAUUGCUAAAGAGCAACAUGUACCAGGACUUGUACUACGUUAAGCUCACCGGAAUAAAGGUUGACGGUGAGUCGCUAAAAGGCAUCCCGGACCGAGCGUUCGACUUCGCGGCGGAUGGCAAGUCCGGUGGGGUGGCCCUGAGCACCACCAUCGCCCUCACCUGGCUCCAGAGUGACGCCUACUAUGCCGUGAAGCAAGCGCUAAUGAGCAAGAUAGACUCACCGGCCGUGAAAAGCAAUAAUGAGUUGGACCUGUGCUACGACACCAACUCUGUGGCCAAGCUCAAGUUCCCCAAGAUAACUCUGGUAUUUGAUGGAGUGGACUCACCCGGGAUGGACCUCACAACGGUGCACUACUUCUACAAGGACACCAACACCGGGUUCCAGUGCCUCACCAUGCUGCCGAUGCCCAAGGAUUAUCCUUUAGGUUCCAUCCUAGGUAGCAUGCUGCAGGCGGGCACCAACAUGAUCUACGACAUCGGUGGCCGGCAGCUGACCUUCGAGAAGGCGGUGGCGGCGGCCCCACCGGUGCCACUCAUGGCGAUAGUCUCUCUCCUUGCGUGGGUGCUCCUCUUCUAG
rnacentral:rRNA from 1 species